rnacentral:rRNA from 1 species
UACGAAGGGGGCUAGCGUUGUUCGGAAUUACUGGGCGUAAAGCGCGCGCAGGCGGGUCAUCAAGUCAGGGGUGAAAGCCCAGAGCUCAACUCUGGAACUGCCCUUGAAACUGGUGACCUUGAGUACGGGAGAGGUGAGUGGAAUUCCCAGGGUAGAGGUGAAAUUCGUAGAUAUGGGGAAGAACACCGGUGGCGAGGGCGGCUCACUGGCCCGUAACGGACGCUCAGGCGCGAUAGCGUGGGGAUCAAACAGG